GAUCCUGGCUCAGAAUCAACGCUGGCGGCGUGCCUAACACAUGCAAGUCGAGCGAGAAAGGGUAGCAAUACCUGAGUAAAGCGGCGCACGGGUGAGUAACACGUGGAUAACCUGCCUCAAAGUGGGGGAUAACACCGGGAAACCGGUGCUAAUACCGCAUAUUCUGAUGAAGUCUGCGGAUUUUGUCAGGAAAGGAGCAAUUCGCUAUGAGAGGGGUCCGCGGCUGAUUAGCUAGUUGGUGAGGUAAUGGCUCACCAAGGCAACGAUCAGUAGCCGGUCUGAGAGGACGGUCGGCCACACUGGAACUGAGACACGGUCCAGACUCCUACGGGAGGCAGCAGUGGGGAAUUUUUGGCAAUGGGGGAAACCCUGACCAAGCAACGCCGCGUGGAUGAUGAAGUAUCUCGGUACGUAAAAUCCUUUCGACGGGGACGAAACCGCAAGGUUGACGGUACCCGUAGAAGAAGCCCCGGCUAACUCCGUGCCAGCAGCCGCGGUAAUACGGGGGGGGCAAGCGUUGUUCGGAAUUACUGGGCGUAAAGGGCGCGUAGGCGGCUUGUUAAGUCGGGUGUGAAAACUCUGGGCUCAACCCAGAGCCUGCAUUCGAAACUGAUGAGCUAGAGUUCUGGAGGGGAAAGCGGAAUUCCUGGUGUAGCAGUGAAAUGCGUAGAUAUCAGGAGGAACACCGGU
rnacentral:rRNA from 1 species